rnacentral:miRNA from 1 species
GUUCCCUUAAACGCUUUAUUG